GGACCAAGAAAUCAUGGCUUGAAAGCUUUAAGCAAUCCUUUCCUCUUUUGAAGUUGACUCAGCAACAGAAAAGCCACUAGCACUCAGCCUUGCUACUUGCUCUGAAAACUGCCUCCUGGAUGGAUGGUCAGGAGUUUGACUCUGUCGGCUCAGCCCUGUGAAGCAGAAACUAAGGAUUUGUCAGUGAUUUCCAGCUGUGAUUUCCAAAUGUGCAUCUGCUGUGUCAGGUCCACUGUUCCACUGGACAGAAUCCCAGGCCCGAGAGUAUCAUAA
rnacentral:lncRNA from 1 species